rnacentral:rRNA from 1 species
AACGAACGUUAGCGGCGCGCCUAACACAUGCAAGUCGAGCGAGAAAGGGAGCAAUCCCCCGGUACAGCGGCGCACGGGUGAGUAACACGUAGGUAACCAACCUUCGAGUGGUGGAUAACCUUCCGAAAGGAGGGCUAAUACAGCAUGAGCCCACGGCGACGAGAGUCGCAGGGGGAAAAGCCGGCCAAUCCAUGGAAGCUGGCGCUUGGAGACGGGCCUGCGGCCCAUCAGCUAGUUGGUGAGGUAAUGGCUCACCAAGGCAAAGACGGGUAGGCUGGUCUGAAGAGGAUGAUCAGCACAC